rnacentral:rRNA from 1 species
GACGAACGCUGGCGGCGUGCUUAACACAUGCAAGUCGAACGGAAAGGCCCUGCUUUUGUGGGGUGCUCGAGUGGCGAACGGGUGAGUAACACGUGAGUAACCUGCCCUUGACUGUGGGAUAACUUCAGGAAACUGGGGCUAAUACCGGAUAGGAGCUCCUGCUGCAUGGUGGGGGUUGGAAAGUUUCGGCGGUUGGGGAUGGACUCGCGGCUUAUCAGCUUGUUGGUGGGGUAGUGGCUUACCAAGGCUUUGACGGGUAGCCGGCCUGAGAGGGUGACCGGCCACAUUGGGGCUGCGGUACGGCCCAGACUCCUCCGGGAGGCAGCAGUGGGGAUUAUUGCACAAUGGGCGGGAGCCUGAUGCAGCAGCGCCGCGUGCGGGAUGACGGCCUUCGGGUUGUAAACCGCUUUCGCCUGUGACGAAGCGUGAGUGACGGUAAUGGGUAAAGAAGCACCGGCUAACUACGUG